CCCUUAGAUGUUCUGGGCCGCACGCGCGCUACACUGACGGAGUCAGCGAGCAUGUCCUACGCCGACAGGUGCGGGGAAUCUUGUCAAACUUCGUCGUGAUGGGGAUUGAUUUUUGAAAUUCUUGAUCAUAAACGAGGAAUUCCUAGUAAGCGCAAGUCAGCAGCUUGCGUUGAUUACGUCCCUGCCCUUUGUACACACCGCCCGUCGCUACUACCGAUUGAAUGGUUUAGUGAGAUCUUCGGAUUGGCGCCACUGCAGCUCAGCAAUGGGCUUGGUGGAUGCCGAAAAGUUGAUCAAACUUGAUCAUUUAGAGGAAGUAAAAGUCGUAACA
rnacentral:rRNA from 1 species